CCUACGGGAGGCAGCAGUAAGGAAUAUUGGUCAAUGGACGCAAGUCUGAACCAGCCAUGCCGCGUGAAGGAUUAAGGCCCUCUGGGUUGUAAACUUCUUUUAUAGGGGACGAAAAAAGGGCAUUCUUGCUCACUUGACGGUACCCUAGGAAUAAGCACCGGCUAACUCCGUGCCAGCAGCCGCGGUAAUACGGAGGGUGCAAGCGUUAUCCGGAUUUACUGGGUUUAAAGGGUGCGUAGGUGGGUUGGUAAGUCAGUGGUGAAAUCUUCGAGCUUAACUCGGAAACUGCCAUUGAUACUAUCAAUCUUGAAUCAUCUAGAGGUAAGCGGAAUAUGUCAUGUAGCGGUGAAAUGCUUAGAUAUGACAUAGAACACCAAUUGCGAAGGCAGCUUACUAUGGAUGUAUUGACACUGAGGCACGAAAGCGUGGGGAUCAAACAGGAUUAGAUACCCUGGUAGUCCACGCCCUAAACCGAUGGAUACUCGACAUUUGUGAUAUACCUAUAAGUGUNUGAGAGAAGANAUAAUAUACCACCACGGAGACGACGACGAGUAGUAACGUACAAUAGAGUAGUACGCGNGAGNGNGCGACGACGACGACGAGGGAGGAGG
rnacentral:rRNA from 1 species